UACGUAGGGGGCGAGCGUUAUCCAGAUUUACUGGGCGUAAAGCGCACGUAGGCGGCAUUGCAAGUCGGAUGUGAAAUCUUAUGGCUUAACCAUAAAAGUGCAUCCGAAACUGCAGUGCUUGAGUACUUAAGAGGAUCGCGGAAUUCCCGGUGUAGAGGUGAAAUUCGUAGAUAUCGGGAGGAACACCAGUGGCGAAGGCGGCGAUCUGGGAAGAUACUGACGCUGAGGUGCGAAAGCGUGGGGAGCAAACAGG
rnacentral:rRNA from 1 species